GUUGAAAGAGUACAUAGAGAAGAAAAAAAGAGUACAGGAAAUUUAUACAAGCGAAGAGACGUGUAUAGACUUCUUCCUCUGUCGUUGGCAUUUAUUUCUGUUUUCUUAUAGUAUUUUUAUAUCGUAAAUAUAUAGUUGUAUUCUUGGUUUAAUAAAAGGGAAGUAA
rnacentral:rRNA from 16 species